UGGGGAAUAUUGCACAAUGGACGGAAGUUUGAUGCAGCGACGCCGCGUGGAGGGUGUAGGCCUUCGGGUUGUGAACUCCUUUUUCUCGCGAAAAAGGCACAGUUUUGGCUGUGUUGAUGGUAGUGGGGGAAGAAGCGCCGGCUAACUACGUGCCAGCAGCCGCGGUAAUACGUAGGGCGCGAGCGUUGUCCGGGUUUAUUGGGCGUAAAGAGCUCGUAGGUGGUUCGUCGCGUCUGUCGUGAAAGCCAGCAGCUUAACUGUUGGUCUGCGGUGGGUACGGGCGGGCUUGAGUGCGGUAGGGGUGACUGGAAUUCCUGGUGUAGCGGUGGAAUGCGCAGAUAUCAGGAGGAACACCGAUGGCGAAGGCAGGUCACUGGGCCGUUACUGACACUGAGGAGCGAAAGCGUGGGGAGCGAACAGG
rnacentral:rRNA from 1 species